UGUGAGCAGAUGUGGUACAAGGAGAAGCGGAGACAGCGCAACAAGGGCAGCCCAAAGUGGAAGCACAUGCAGGAAAUGAAGAAGAAACGAAAUCGACGACAUCACAGAGACCUCGAUGAGCUCCAGAGAUCAGUAGCUACAUAGUUUUCUAUUUAAUUUAAAGAGGGAAUUAUUUACCUGCCUGCACAAAUAAUGUCUUCUGUUUUGUACAUCCCUUAUACUAACUCAUACAUGCUUCCCAUGGAGUCUCACGGAGGCACAGGAUGCUAUGCUGAGUAAGACUAUAUAGGACAUCAUCUGAACCAGCUUUCCAAGAACAAAAUCUGUAUCAGCAAAGUUAAGAAUUGUCUUAAAAAUAGGGGCCUUAUGUUUGUAAAUGUCUCAUAGUUUGAAUUUAAUGUCAUGUAAAUAAUCAAGUUAAAUGAACCCAGGUCCACUUAGUAAGGGCGUUAUUCCCGUGCAUGUCCAUUAAGCAUGGACUUUCCCAUGCUGCUGGCUAUGUGCUUAAUCAUUCCAUUCUAGAACAGGUGAUCAUGUAGGAACUGGAGAAAAGGCACACUUUAAAACAGCUUAUGUUAGCAAAAAAAAAACUUUCUCAAGGAGCCAACAGGCCACACUUGGAGUCAGGCGUGGGAAUUUAGAAAGGCAUGUUCCCUCUUUGUGGACCAGGCUACAUCUAGUGUACUGCAGUAAUGCUCUGUGAGAGGGUAGUAAUGAUCCUCACCAAUUUCCUUUUGAUUGCUCAAGCACAGCAUCAUGGACAGAACCCCAUGGUGUGCUCUAGAGUACAGACAAUGGAACUUAGUACACACUUCCUGUGCUCUUUGGGAAGCAUGGUAAAAGAUCUUAAUAUAAUAAUAAGGGUGACAUGAUAUACACUGUAUCCUAAUCUGUAGAUGGGAAUUAUUUGGAGACAGACAAGAUAGCUGUAAAUUCUGUCUCUGAGAAAAACUUAUAUUGCCAUAAAAAAGGAGAAAGCCACAAAGUAGAUAGAAUGUAAUGGAAUUCUUUCCACUGGAGUAUAAAUAUCUGCCAACUUAUAAUGUUUUGGUUAAAAAUAAUUUAGAUUAUAGCAAAUUGUUAGCAAAAAUGCAAGUGAAAGUAAAAUUUGUAAAAAAAAUUAUGGGAUGGCAAUAUAUUAUUUAUAACCAAUGUAUUUCUGUGUUCUCUUUUUUUCUAAGUAUUUAUCGUAUUCUGUAUAUUGUUUGCAUUUACAUCCUUUUUUUUAUUAUAUUUGAGUAAAUAGGAGAAAGCAAUACGUAAUACAUAGAGAUAAUUGAGUAGAUGACCAAGGUGGGGAGUGGGGCUAUAUAUUUGUUGAAUGGAUGGAUAAUGGCAAAAUUUUGAUGACGGGAAGGGUUAAAUUAACUCUUCGACAUCCUCUCGUUACAUAAACUUUCAAGCAGUGUUGUUUUCAGCAGUUUCACAAGGAAGUCUUCAACAUCUAAAGAAAACACUCACACCGUUAGCAUAAGUACCAUUUGUAUUUUGCUAGCCUGUGUCAAAUUCAACUUUGCCUUUGAACAGUGUUUUCCUGCCAGUCUCUCCAGAAAUCAACUUUCCUUCCUGUAGCACAAAACCCUUAGCCUUCCUCUGUUUUGCCUUUUCACGCUCUUUAUAGUGUGAAAUGAACAAUUAGUCACUUCCUCACAAAGAAUGCAGCUUUUUAGAAAACCAACAGACCUUGUUUGUUUCUCAUGCAUUCUACAUGUUUUGAAAGAUUCUGUGAGAAGCCUGUGUGAUUAAAAAGCAGUUUUACAGAGUCAAGCAAUCUAUCUCUUCAAAGUAGCAUCAGUAUUUUACAUUCAUUUAAUUUGCAUUGGGUACCUAUCUCAAGGGCAUAACAUUAUCUGCAAGGGACUAGUAUAAUAAUGAAUAUUUGUUGAUGUUUCACUCUUGGAAAAAGCAAAAAUGAAGGAACAAUUUUAAUUUGUAAACCAGAAUGAAUCACAUCUCCAGCAGAAGUGCAUACAAAUCCUUGUGUCAUGGUUAGACUACUAAUCAUAGAUCACACAAUAAUGUUUAUCUACUGGCUUACUGAGUCCUGCAAAGUCACAGCAAACAUGUCAGUGGGUGCAUGCUUCAUUCAAAAAAUGCUUUCAGAUAGCUGUGCAUCAGAGAGUAAUACUCAAAUAUCAGUAGUAUUGAAAGAUUGCACAAGAUUCUACUCUUUGUAUUGACAUCUGAAAAUUAAUUUUAUAUAGAUAAUAAUGUCCAAACUAUUUUCUAAUUACUUAUGUAAUUAGAAAUGUAAUGUUUUAUCAACAUUCUGUAAAUCUAUUUUACAUCUUAGAUUUAAAAUUUUGGCUGUUUUGGGCAUAAAACUUCUAAUUAUGAUUAAAUAUAUUAUAAACAUUAUUAGGAAAAUAUGAUUCCAUAAUAAAGGUAGGGCUAUGGUUUAUUUUGAAAUGCAGACUAUAGCUAAGCAGCAUUCAUUCUUAUUCAAAAGACUUAGAAGAGUGUUGUGAAAGAUCAGUUGACAAAUGUAAUGUGUAGUUCCUUACCAUUGAGGAUGAACAACUCUGUUUUGAAAUAAUAAAAAGCAGAAUAUUGCUCAAAGUUUAAAUAUUAAAGGUACCAGAUCCCCCAGAAGCAACUCUGAACUAUGUAGUUAUUCAUUUUUUUUUAAAUCUAUUUUUCUGUCUUCAGUACAAGUCUCUAGCUUCUGUGAGUGUUUUUGCUGCAUUUUUAUUCAGUCCUUUGUGCUGCUAAAUAGUAGUAUGCCUGAAUGAGUUAAUUUACAUUUAAUUUAUUGGGAAUUUUAAGAGUUUGUUUAGAAAUGGAUAAUCUAAAUAAGCAAUUUAUGUAAAAUCCUUUGUUUUUCUUUCCCAAAAGAGUUCAUAAUCAUAUAUCACACGACAGAGUAAACAUUUCAGAAGAAACAGUCAAGUUACUUAAAAAACUGCAAAGUAGUCAUAGAAAAACUGAGCACACUGCAGAAUCCACAAUAGCUCUCGGAUGCACAAUUCCAGGAUGAUUUGUUUAAAGCAAGACUUACUUACAACAUGCCUGCAAUAUGAUGGUCACGCUUUUGGACGUUUCCUUUGUGCUAUACUUUGAUUCUUUGCAUAUAUUAAUUAUUACAUGCUAUUCCUACUGAAUUGGUGAUCUUACCUAGAGGCUAACAAGAGUGACUACUUGUUAGACUAACAUAACCAAGAAUAAUUUCCCAGGACAACUUGUGUCAUUUCAUUCACAUG
rnacentral:lncRNA from 1 species